rnacentral:lncRNA from 1 species
CUGGCAGCUCAUCCUGUGCAGCUCCUGCGCUGCUGAGGGCACACACCGACAGUGCUCCUACUUGAGCAACAGCACAAACUCCUGGGAGUGCGACAGCUGUGCCGGCCUGGGGACCGCCUCCAGCAACAACAUUGAGCUUGCUGGUCCCAGCACUGCCAGGCAGAGGGGUCUGGCGCCAUCCAACAGCAACUCGGAACCUGACAACUUCAGCUCCAGGCCCGCCAGCCAGGCAGCAUCGGGGCCACCACACGGUUCCCAGCUGCCUGAGCACAGCGACCAGCCAAGUGAGCGUGGGACAGAGCAGAGGACAAAUUGCCCACGUUCUCGUGACAAUCAGGUGUCCUCUGAGCAGCGCCGGGGACGCCGGGGGAGCGGACGCCGCGGGAGCAGACGAGCAGCAGCCCCAAGGGCUCAGAGCAGCUCCCACACAUCUACCAGACGGAGGACACCAGGGUCCUCCAGGGCGUCUCUGGCAGCUGCACACAGAAGGCGUCCCAGGCAGCAGGGAAGUAGCCGGACACGAAGCCGCUCCCCGCUGCAAGGUCGGGCCCCACGUUCCCAGUCCCGGCCAAGAAGACGCCAUGGCAGCAGGCAAAGGCCAGCCCCACGUGAGCAGAGAAGGACCCGCAGCUCAGCGAGAUCUGCAACAUCAAGGUCCUCCAGGGCUUCCUCAGUGUCUCAACACCGUGGACGGUCCACGCAGUGAGGGCAGGCCCUCACACAAAGGCACUCCCCGCACAGACGUCCGGCUUCGAAUUCCCACUGCUCACACUGAAGAGGCAGCAGGAGCCGGUCCCAACACCACACGCCGUCCCGGGAAUGAAGGUGCUCCCACGUCCAACGUCAAAGCCAAAGUCCCCGCUGCCAGCCCCCAAGUCUGCACAGGAGCUGCCAUGUGCCAUUCCCACCUGCUUGCACUGCUCCCAAGACGCCAAUACAAUAAAGCUGGGAGAUCCCCCACACACCUUUGUCAGCUUCAUUCUUCCCUGCUUUUGCCGAGGUGGGCAGAGGCAGGGACCUUGACAACAGGGCUGACUCCUCCCCAGCACCUUCACAGCCCUCACUUCACCUGGCCCAGUCCACUGUAAGAAAACACUCGAGCACAGGGUUACCCGUCAGUCGGCUAAAGGAAAACAAACCUCUGCCCGCCAGCGUGGGGAAGCAGCAACUCAGUGUGAGUUCAAAUAGCUUCAACCUUUAUUAGGGCAACAGUCCGCCUUAUAUAGCAUACUUGUUUACAGAAUAGAUGCCCCACAAAUCUCAGGAGUGUCUCAAAACAAUAUCAUUUCCCAGGCUAUUUUUCAGCACAGCACACAUUGUUAACUAAAAAGCACUACAAGCACUACAUUCCACACAUACACAGUGGGAUCGCUCCCAUGACUGGAGUGCUGCGAUGGAUGGCUACAAGCUCUUCAGGAAGGAUAGGCAAGGAAGG